rnacentral:rRNA from 1 species
GACAGAGGGUGCAAACGUUGUUCGGAAUUACUGGGCGUAAAGCGCACGUAGGCGGCUUUGUAAGUUAGAGGUGAAAGCCUGGGGCUCAACCCCAGAAUUGCCUUUAAGACUGCAUCGCUUGAAUCCAGGAGAGGUGAGUGGAAUUCCGAGUGUAGAGGUGAAAUUCGUAGAUAUUCGGAAGAACACCAGUGGCGAAGGCGGCUCACUGGACUGGUAUUGACGCUGAGGUGCGAAAGCGUGGGGAGCAAACAGGG